UACGUAGGGUGCGAGCGUUGUCCGGAAUUACUGGGCGUAAAGAGCUCGUAGGUGGUUUGUCGCGUUGUCCGUGAAAUUCCCUGGCUUAACUGGGGGCGUGCGGGCGAUACGGGCAGACUGGAGUACCUGCAGGGGAGACUGGAAUUCCUGGUGUAGCGGUGGAAUGCGCAGAUAUCAGGGAGGAACACCGGUGGCGAAGGCGG
rnacentral:rRNA from 1 species